CAGUGAUCUUAGCUUGACAGAUGCUGAAAAGACCAAACUUUACCAACAGAAGAGCAGUGAGAUUAGUAAGAGUGCUUCUGACACUCAAAGUGUAGAACAGGGUGACUGAGCAACAGGUGAACAUUCGAGCUCAGGUAUACUUACGAAUGAGAGUUGGCCAUUUGGCAUGUCUAACUCCUUUGGUAAUUAACAGCUAAUUGUUCUGUGGAUCUCAUGCAGCUGUUUCUUGGAGGAAGAGAGAAACCUGUUGUGUAAAGAAGGUGUAAUGGUGUCUGGUGUCUUUUCCCUCUGGUAGAGAUUGAUGCUGACAUGCACAUGGAUAAAGGUUAUCGAAAGCGAGGACUGGAUGAGAGCAGCUCUUUGAGCACAAUGAACGCUCCAGACAAGAAAGGAGGUUACUGCAUCAAUUAUUACUGGGGCUAUUCCUGUACCCGCAGAAUUAGAUGCUAUCGGAGAUGUAAGUAUUCCCUUCUGUAUUUCUGUGCUUUG
rnacentral:lncRNA from 1 species